UUUUGCGGUACUCUGACCGUGCAAAGGUAGCAUAAUCAUUUGCCUUAUAAUUGAAGGCUUGUAUGAAUGGUUUGACAAGAAUAAAGCUGUCUCUUUAUAAAUAAGUAUAAUUUUAUUUACAGGUGAAGAAGCCUGUAUUUUAUUGAAAGACAAGAAGACCCUAUCGAGCUUUAAAUAAAUUAAUAAAGAACGAAUUGUAUUUAUAUAAAGUCAAUUAUUAAAAAUUUUAGUUGGGGCGACUAAGGAACAGACAAAGCUUCCUAAAAAUUUAAAUACCUUCAAGUAUUGAUCCAAAAUUUUUGAUUAAAGGAAUUAGUUACCGUAGGGAUAACAGCAUUAUCUUUUUUAAGAGCUCAAAUCGAAAAAAAGGUUUGUGACCUCGAUGUUGGACCAGAAUGUCCUGAAGAUGCAGCCGUCUUCAAGGGUUGGUCUGUUCGACCAUUAAAAUUCUACGUGA
rnacentral:rRNA from 1 species